CAAGGUGCAGUGUUGAGUUUUGUUUUGUUUCUGCAUGGGAGAAUAAAGGUACAUAAAACAUACCCUCAGAAGAUCAUAAUUUUCAUCUUGGCAAGAACUUUCAGCUUAGCAUGGAGGUGACACUGCAUUCUCAAAGGCAGCAAAAAGGGGGAGCAUAAAUUCUGUGAAGUCCUACCGAAAUAAAAAGAUUUCAAGUAUGGUCUCAAUGAAGAAUUGUAUUUCUGUUGUCCAAGAAGCAGCCUGGUUCAGCUCUUCAAGGCUCAUCAUCUUAAAAGGUUAACCACAGAGCCUCCCAAACACUGACUAGCUCUGGCAAUGUGUG